GAUGAACGCUGGCGGCGUGCUUAAUACAUGCAAGUCGAGCGAACCACUUCGGUGGUGAGCGGCGAACGGGUGAGUAACACGUAGGUGAUCUGCCCAUCAGACGGGGACAACGAUUGGAAACGAUCGCUAAUACCGGAUAGGACGAAAGUUUAAAGGUGCUUCUGGCACCGCUGAUGGAUGAGCCUGCGGCGCAUUAGCUAGUCGGUAGGGUAAAGGCCUACCAAGGCGACGAUGCGUAGCCGACCUGAGAGGGUGAACGGCCACACUGGGACUGAGACACGGCCCAGACUCCUACGGGAGGCAGCAGUAGGGAAUCUUCGGCAAUGGGCGAAAGCCUGACCGAGCAGCGCCGCGUGAAUGAUGAAGGCCUUCGGGUUGUAAAAUUCUGUUAUAAGGGAAGAACGACUUUAGUAGGAAAUGGCUAGAGUGUGACGGUACCUUAUGAGACAGCCACGGCUAACUACGUGCCAGCCGCCGCAGUAA
rnacentral:rRNA from 1 species